rnacentral:siRNA from 1 species
UUCACGUUUAUAGAAGGGAGCGGU